rnacentral:rRNA from 1 species
AACGCGAAGAACCUUACCAGGUCUUGACAUCCCGAUGCUAUUUCUAGAGAUAGAAGUUACUUCGGUACAUCGGUGACAGGUGGGUGCAUGGUUGUCGUCAGCUCGUGUCGUGAGAUGUUGGGUUAAGUCCCGCAACGAGCGCAACCCCUAUCUUUAGUUGCCAUCAUUGAGUUGGGCACUCUAAAGAGACUGCCGGUGUCAAACCCGGAGGAAGGUGGGGGAUGACGUCAAGUCCUCAUGGCCUUUAUGACCAGGGCUACACACGUACUACAAUGGCCGGUACAAAGGGCAGCGACACAGCGAUGUGAAGCGAAUCCCGAAAAGCCGGUCUCAGUCCGGAUUGGAGUCUGCAACUCGACUCCAUGAAGUUGGAAUCGCUAGUAAUCGCGGAUCAGCACGCCGCGGUGAAUACGUUCCCGGGCCUU